rnacentral:rRNA from 1 species
CACUCCUACGGGAGGCAGCAGUGGGGAAUAUUGCACAAUGGGCGCAAGCCUGAUGCAGCCAUGCCGCGUGUAUGAAGAAGGCCUUCGGGUUGUAAAGUACUUUCAGCAGUGAGGAAGGUUCAUGCGUUAAUAGCGUAUGGAUUUGACGUUAGCUGCAGAAGAAGCACCGGCUAACUCCGUGCCAGCAGCCGCGGUAAUACGGAGGGUGCGAGCGUUAAUCGGAAUUACUGGGCGUAAAGCGCAUGCAGGUGGUUUGUUAAGUCAGAUGUGAAAGCCCGGGGCUUAACCUCGGAAUUGCAUUUGAAACUGGCAGGCUAGAGUCUUGUAGAGGGGGUAGAAUUUCAGGUGUAGCGGUGAAAUGCGUAGAGAUCUGAAGGAAUACCGGUGGCGAAGGCGGCCCCCUGGACAGAUACUGACACUCAGAUGCGAAAGCGUGGGGAGCAAACAGGAUUAGAUACCCUGGUAG